rnacentral:rRNA from 1 species
AUUGAACGCUGGCGGCAGGCCUAACACAUGCAAGUCGAACGAGUGGCGGACGGGUGAGUAAUGUCUGGGAAACUGCCUGAUGGAGGGGGAUAACUACUGGAAACGGUAGCUAAUACCGCAUACCAUUGGAUGUGCCCAGAUGGGAUUAGCUAGUAGGUGGGGUAACGGCUCACCUAGGCCACGGGCCCUAGCUGGUCUGAGAGGCUGACCAGCCACACUGGAACUGAGACACGGUCCAGACUCCUACGGGAGGCAGCAGUGGGGAAUAUUGCUCAAUGGGCGCAAGCCUGAUACAGCCAUGCCGCGUGUAUGAAGAAGGCCUUCGGGUUGUAAAGUUCUUUCAGCGGGGAGGCGUUACCCGCAGAGGAAGCACCGGCUAACUCCGUGCCAGCAGCCGCGGUAAUAC